UGCGGCAGAGCUCAAAGCCUUUUUGAAUUC
rnacentral:piRNA from 1 species